rnacentral:rRNA from 1 species
GAUGAACGCUAGCGGCAGGCCUAAUACAUGCAAGUCGAACGGUCCGCUUCGGCGGAUAGUGGCGCACGGGUGCGUAACACGUAUGCAACCUACCUUACAUUGGGGGAUAGCCUUUCGAAAGGGAGAUUAAUACCGCAUAAGACAGUAGCUGGGCAUCCAGUAGCUGUUAAAGAUUUAUCGAUGUAAGCUGGGCAUGCGUCCAAUUAGUUAGUUGGUGAGGUAACGGCUCACCAAGACGAUGAUUGGUAGGGGAACUGAGAGGUCAAUCCCCCACACUGGCACUGAGAUACGGGCCAGACUCCUACGGGAGGCAGCAGUAGGGAAUAUUGGGCAAUGGACGCAAGUCUGACCCAGCCAUGCCGCGUGCAGGAAGAAGGCGUUCUGCGUUGUAAACUGCUUUUAUAUAGGAAGAAACGACCCUUGCGAGGGGCAUUGACGGUAUUAUAUGAAUAAGCACCGGCUAACUCCGUGCCAGCCGCCGCCGUAAGAC